AUGGAGGUUGCUGCUGCAGCGAGCGCUGGACACCAACGCGCACCUCAAGCACUCCACCUUCUUCCAGCUCGUACGCUCCCAUCCCCCGUCCCCCUCCCCAUCCCCUUCUUUUGGGGAGAAAAACUUGAUACCCUAACGGACGGUCCGUCGUUUCAGGCCACGGUGGGCGGCGGCGGCAGGCCGGCGAACCGCACCGUCGUGUUCAGGGGCUUCCAAGAACACUGCGACAAGAUUCAGAUUAAUACGGAUGCGCGGAGCAACAAGAUUGGUGAGAUCAAGGAGUGGCCCCUCGGCGAGAUAUGCUGGUAUUUCACCGAUUCAUGGGAACAAUUUCGUAUCAGCGGCAUCAUAGAUGUGAUCGAUGGUUCCUGUCCCGAUCCUGCCAAGCUCCAGCAACGAGAGAAAGCUUGGUUCGCCAGUUCAGUAAAGUCAAGAUUGCAAUACUUAGGACCAUCUCCAGGGGUCCCCGUCGCAAAUGAUGACCACGUUACGGAUGUUCAUCUCGAUCCGUCAGCUGGCCCAGUUGAUGCCUAUUGUCUUCUGACUCUUGAUCCAGAAAAGGUUGAUUACGUGAACCUGAAAAGUAAUCAGAGAUUGAUGUUCACAAGAACCCAGGAAGGAGAUGAGUCCAGUGAUUGGAUGGCCAAAAAAGUUAGCCCAUAA
rnacentral:rRNA from 1 species